UUUUUAUAUCUAUAAAUCUAGGGAUUCCUAGAAUCUAGAAGUACAUCUAGAGUUUUUCCUUCAUUUUAACUUAAAAGCUAAACAACGCGUAAAAUUACAACAAUAUUUAAUUUCUAUUAGAUUUGAUAUUUUAGAUCUAGGGAUCCCUAGAUUUAAAAUCCUCGAAAGGCACGUAGAAUUUUCUAAUUUUGUUUAAAAUUAAAGGACUGAGAAGUAUUUCAUUUCAUCUUAAAUUCUACAUCCGUAAGAUUUAGAAAUCCUUAGACACUCUAGAUUCUUAAGAAGAUUCCAUAAAGCUUUCUAAUUUUACUUUCAAAAUUUUGCUUGGAAAGGAACGCAUGGAACUUGAGAUAUUUGAAUAUAUUUCAAAAAAGUGCGAGAUAGGCUGUUUCAGCUUAAGAGAGAGGGUAGAGUGUAAUUUACCAUAGGGAGGAGUAUCUUAGAACGAGAGAAGAGGCACAUUUCACGAGUGAAUUUGAAAAUACGUUGAAUAUAAUUUUUUUUUUCGCCCGCAAUUCUUUCGAGAAAAUCGAGUUU